UACGAAGGGGGCUAGCGUUGUUCGGAAUUACUGGGCGUAAAGCGUGCGCAGGCGGCUCCUUAAGUCAGAUGUGAAAGCCCCGGGCUUAACCUGGGAACUGCGUUUGAAACUGGGGAGCUGGAGUGUAGAAGAGGGGGGUGGAAUUCCAGGUGUAGCAGUGAAAUGCGUAGAUAUCUGGAGGAACACCGAUGGCGAAGGCAGCCCCCUGGGCUAACACUGACGCUCAUGCACGAAAGCGUGGGGAGCAAACAGG
rnacentral:rRNA from 1 species